rnacentral:tRNA from 1 species
GGAGGGUACAUCUCAGUGGUAGAGUGUCUGCUUAGUAUGCAAAAGGUCCUGGGUUCAAUCCCCAGUCCCUCCA